GCGCGCGCAGGAACUUGGAUCUCAACCCCAGGGCUAGGUGCCUCCUCCCGCUGCUUUCCGCCAGCUGCGGGGUGUGAGAUUAAUCCCCGCCGAUUAGCGCCAGGUGUACUAAUCCCUGGAUGGUUCCCUGACCAGAUGAAACAUCAGCCGAUGUUCUAAUGCCCGUCCCCUGGGCACUGUCCCCGAGAGGGAAAACCUGUUUUCUGACCCCGGCUCUAGUCGGCCUCUGGAGAUCUGCAGCUGGGUUAUUUUACUUCUGAAACGGACGACACCUGCCCCGCGCACCCCAGCGGCUCCUCCACACGGAGAGAUGGUGUCAGUCAAAGGCCGUCUAGAUGACGAGUUUAUGAAAUUGUUCCUGGCCCGUGCCGGGCACGACCUUGCAGAGAGCCCAGAAGAUGAAACCCCAGCCCUGCCAGGAGCUCACCUGCUAAUUAGGAGGACAACGAAUCACCUCACCUCCCUAGACUUUGCUUCUCCUUUAUUCAGUGAGGGAUUGGACUAGCUGGUCCUUAAGGACUUUUCAGAAAGUCUGGUUCUGGGAGAUGACCAAUGGGAUCAUCUUAUGCUAUGAGCUUUCCUGGAAUGACAGGUAAUUGGUGCGCCUUCCCAGCAGGGUCAGGGAGAGUCGCUGGGACUUGAAGGGAAGGCUUUUGGGGAGAGGAGCCAGUGUUACAAACUAUCGAAAAGCUUGGAGGUGGGAAAUUUGCGAAAGGUGAUUCCAGGGUCAGCUUUUUUGUCACCUGCUUCCGACUUCGGCAGUUUGGAGAGGGCGAGUAAUACCCUUCAGGG
rnacentral:lncRNA from 1 species